rnacentral:rRNA from 1 species
CCUACGGGUGGCAGCAGUGAGGAAUAUUGGUCAAUGGGCGCUAGCCUGAACCAGCCAAGUAGCGUGAAGGAUGACUGCCCUAUGGGUUGUAAACUUCUUUUAUAUGGGAAUAAAAUGCGGUAUGUAUACUGCUUUGCAUGUACCGUAUGAAUAAGGAUCGGCUAACUCCGUGCCAGCAGCCGCGGUAAUACGGAGGAUCCGAGCGUUAUCCGGAUUUAUUGGGUUUAAAGGGAGCGUAGGCGGGUUGUUAAGCCAGUUGUGAAAGGUUGCGGCUCAACCGUAACAUUGCAGUUGAUACUGGCAUGCUUGAGUGCAGGAGAGGUAGGCGGAAUUCGUGGUGUAGCGGUGAAAUGCUUAGAUAUCACGAAGAACUCCGAUUGCGAAGGCAGCCUGCUGGACUGUAACUGACGCUGAUGCUCGAAAGUGUGGGUAUCAAACAGGAUUAGAUACCCGAGUAGUC